rnacentral:rRNA from 1 species
UACAGAGGGUGCAAGCGUUGUUCGGAAUUAUUGGGCGUAAAGCGCGUGUAGGCGGCUUUGCAAGUCGGGUGUGAAAGCCCUCGCUCAACCGAGGAAGUGCGCCCGAAACUGCAGAGCUUGAGUACCGGAGAGGAUGGCGGAAUUCCCCAAGUAGAGGUGAAAUUCGUAGAUAUGGGGAGGAACACCGGUGGCGAAGGCGGCCAUCUGGACGGAUACUGACGCUGAGACGGCGAAAAGCG